CAUGUCCUUUAGAUAAUAAUUUAAGGUCUAAUCUGCUCAAUGAAUUUUAAAUUGCCGCAGUAUUUUGACUGUGCGAAGGUAGCAUAAUAAUUAGUUUUUUAAUUAGAAACUGGUAUGAAUGAUUGGACAAGAAAAUUUCUGUCUCUUUUUCAAUUUUUUUUGAAUUUUAUUUUUAAGUGAAAAAGCUUAAAUUUUUAUAAAAGACGAGAAGACCCUAUAGAGUUUAAUAUUUUAUUUUAAUUAUAAUUUAGAAUAAUUUUUUAAUUUAAUUUAUUUGAUUGGGGUGAUUUAAGAAUAAAAAAAAUUUCUUAAUAAAAAAAUUGAUGAUUUUCAAAUUUUAAAUCUAUUUUUAAUAAAUAUAAAAUAAAUUACCUUAGGGAUAACAGCGUAAUUUUUUUUAAAAGCUCUUAUUGAAAAAAAAGUUUGCGACCUCGAUGUUGGAUUAAAAUUAAUUUUUGGUGCAGUAACUUAAAAAUUGGGUCUGUUCGACCUUUAAAAUUUUACAUGAUCUGAGUUUAAACCGGUGUAAACCAGGUUGGAUUCUAUCUUUAUAUUAUUUUUAUAUUUUAGUACGAAAGGACCAAGUAUAAAUUAAAUUAAUUG
rnacentral:rRNA from 1 species